rnacentral:rRNA from 1 species
GAUGAACGCUAGCGGCAGGCUUAAUACAUGCAAGUCGAGGGACAGCACAGGUAGCAAUACUGGGUGGUAACCGGCAAACGGGUGCGGAACACGUACACAACCUUCCUUUAAGUGGGGGAUAGCCCAGAGAAAUUUGGAUUAAUACCCCGUAAUAUAGUUGAAUGGCAUCCUUUGAUUAUUAUAGCUACGGCUCUUAAUGGUGGGUGUGCGGCUGAUUAGAUAGUUGGCGGGGUAACGGCCCACCAAGUCUACGAUCAGUAGCUGAUGUGAGAGCAUGAUCAGCCACACGGGCACUGAGACACGGGCCCGACUCCUACGGGAGGCAGCAGUAAGGAAUAUUGGUCAAUGGACGCAAGUCUGAACCAGCCAUGCCGCGUGAAGGAUUAAGGUCCUCUGGGUUGUAAACUUCUUUUAUUUGGGACGAAAAAGGGCCUUUCUAGGUCAACUGACGGUACCAGAUGAAUAAGCACCGGCUAACUCCGUGCCAGCCGCCGCCGUAAGAC